UCUCUUCGCUUGGGCCAACGGCUGAUGGAAGAUUAAAGCCCGAUAUCAUGGCUCCUGGCGUAAGCAUCUUGUCAGCUCAAGGAGGCGCAGAGGGGACGGCUACUUGCAGUGCGACGUUCAAGU
rnacentral:SRP_RNA from 1 species